AGCCUGAACUUUCUCAUCCAACACCCGUUCAAGUCGGAGGAUGCUGAUUAAUUCAUGAUGGAAAGGUAUCAAUUUCACAGCCCAGACCUCUACAUUCUUGAAAUGCUCUUCUCAUGGGAGACAUUAAAUAAGCUUUGAAUUAACUGAGACCUCUGUGGAUUCUAUAACUCAAAGACCCAGGCUGACGGCUGGUGGAAUAGCUACCAUCUCAAACAUGGCGUGAUGCUGCAUCAGAGAGAAAAAUAAGCUCUUGCAUUGACAAUGAAAUGUCUACCCUGUAGUGACUUGUGCUUACUUCCACUCACAAGUGAUUGCCCAGAGCUACUUACCUGGCUCCAAUCUACCACUGGGACCUUGUAUUGAAGACAGCGUAACCCCCAAGAGGAAAGGAGCUUGGAGCCCUGAAUCAGAGUAGAAGACAGGCUGAAUGAAUACCAGCCUUGGACUGUUGUGUGAAUGAAAAACAAGUUUUGAGAUUUGUGUGGUUUAUUUAUUAUAGUUACUGUUAUUAUUAAAGUUUUUCACUGCUUUACUCUCA
rnacentral:lncRNA from 1 species